rnacentral:rRNA from 1 species
GAUGAACGCUGGCGGCGUGCCUAAUACAUGCAAGUCGAGCGAACAGAUGAGGAGCUUGCUCCUCUGACGUUAGCGGCGGACGGGUGAGUAACACGUGGAUAACCUACCUAUAAGACUGGGAUAACUUCGGGAAACCGGAGCUAAUACCAGAUAAUAUAUUGAACCGCAUGGUUCAAUAGUGAAAGACGGUUUUGCUGUCACUUAUAGAUGGAUCCGCGCCGCAUUAGCUAGUUGGUAAGGUAACGGCUUACCAAGGCGACGAUGCGUAGCCGACCUGAGAGGGUGAUCGGCCACACUGGAACUGAGACACGGUCCAGACUCCUACGGGAGGCAGCAGUAGGGAAUCUUCCGCAAUGGGCGAAAGCCUGACGGAGCAACGCCGCGUGAGUGAUGAAGGUCUUCGGAUCGUAAAACUCUGUUAUUAGGGAAGAACAAAUGUGUAAGUAACUAUGCACGUCUUGACGGUACCUAAUCAGAAAGCCACGGCUAACUACGUG